GAUGAACGCUAGCGGGAGGCCUAACACAUGCAAGCCGAGCGGUAUUUGUUCUUCGGAACAGAGAGAGCGGCGCACGGGUGCGGAACACGUGUGCAACCGGCCUUUAUCUGGGGGAUAGCCUUUCGAAAGGAAGAUUAAUACCCCAUAAUGUAUUGAGUGGCAUCAUUGGAUAUUGAAAACUCCGGUGGAUCGAGAUGGGCACGCGCCAGAUUAGAUAGUUGGUGGGGUAACGGCUCACCAAGGCAAUGAUCUGUAGGUGGUCUGAGAGGGUGACCCGCCACACUGGGACUGAGACGCGGCCCAGACUCCUACGGGAGGCAGCAGUGGGGAAUUUUGGACAAUGGGCGAAAGCCUGAUCCAGCAAUGCCGCGUGUGGGAUGAAGGCCUUCGGGUUGUAAAGCACUUUUGGCGGGAACGAAAAGGACUGUGCCAAUACCACGGUUCGAUGACGGUACCAGAAGAAUAAGCACCGGCUAACUACGUG
rnacentral:rRNA from 1 species